ensembl:lncRNA
CACAGUUUGCUCCACAUUUCAGUGGCAGCUCUGAUGCAAUGCAAAGGUCAGAGGGCAAGACACACAUUGUAUGCAAACAGGAAAAUAAUUUCUUCUGGGAUCUGCUAAUAUACGGACAAAGGAGAGAAGCAUGUCAUCUGCUGUACAAGCCAAGGCAAACCCAGCUUCGUUCCAUGCAUCAGAGGGUUGAAUCAGAAAGAAAAGGAUUAAAGUUGCUCAAGGAGAGAGAAAAAGAAAGAACAAACUGCCUGAAAUCCAGCACUAUUCAUGUAUGCAGCAUGGAUUGUUUUAAAAUGCUGUUUUUCUUCAAACAUCACUUUCAUAAGGCCAAUUCUAAAUGGAUUGAGAUGACACUAAGAGGUUUGGCAUCAGGCCUUUACUUCUUCCAGAUGCAUCCUGAGUGAGAAAUCCUUGUCUUGCUUGAUCGUGGUUAAGAAGAGUUUCUUAUCAGAUAACAACCCGAUGCGUAAUGCAAAUAUGAUCACCAGCUCCUGUUCAGGACAAAAUCUGGAGAUGGAGUUAAGCCCUAUAAGCCCCAUAUGCAGUUAAACUUUCCCACUGGCUGAUGAGCAGUGGAGGACAAAAGCAGGCUGGGUGAGUAGUUCUUUAUUUCCUGGACUGAAGUCUGGCAAUGCUUCCCAGACGUGCCCAGUUCCCAGCAACGCGCAGCUGGAUCCCACUUGACAAAUGCCCAGCAUGAAGCAGCACUGCCUGCAGCUCAGCCAUGAGACCCUCAUCACCGCACGCCAUGCGCUGGAGUUAACGCCUGCUCUUUAGGCUUGCCUUUGGGCCACAAAAGGAGGAACCCUAAGGAAAUACUCCUUUUCUUCUUCAUCUCCCACAUCAAGCGUUACGAAGAGAAGUGCUGUAUAUUCCAUGGGAAAGACUCGGUUUUGAGAGACCAUUAGUAUUAAGAAUAUCAUCGGCUAAGUAACAUCUUUGUUCUCAUUCUUUCUUUUAUUUAGGCACAAAAUUACAAACAAUAGGUAAGUGGAGCCAGGUGAACUCCUCAGGAUGGUGUUUUGUGUUGUGAAAAGCGUUUUGUGAAUCACAUAUGAAACCUAGGAAACAGCUUGAGCCAAAGACAAAGACAGCAAUUCUGAGAAGUUGCUGUCAAUGCACUCUGGUGAUUUCAAAGUGAAACAGUUCAACUUUUCAGUUUGAAACAACAUUUGUUUUUAUUUUGAGGUUUUCCUGCCUGCAAUAAAUGAAAAGGGGUGAAAAGUUUAAACACAAAAAUGACGUGUUUUGUUUCAGGUCGAACCAAAUACAUUGCUCAGUCCAAAAUGGAAUUUUGGAGUUUUAUUGUUUUACCAAGAAAAUACAGUUUCAUUUCCUGUCAACCCAAAUUAAACAUUUUUCGUAAUUGUA